rnacentral:misc_RNA from 1 species
GAUGAAGAACGCAGCGAAAUACGAUACGUAAUGUGAAUUGCAGAAUUCAGUGAAUCAUCGAGUCUUUGAACGCACAUUGCGCCCCCUGGUAUUCCGGGGGGCAUGCCUGUCCGAGCGUCAUUGCUGCCCUCAAGCACGGCUUGUGUGUUGGGCCUCCGUCCUCCUCCCGGGGGACGGGCCCGAAAGGCAGCGGCGGCACCGCGUCCGGUCCUCGAGCGUAUGGGGCUUCGUCACCCGCUCUUGUAGGCCCGGCCGGCGCUUGCCGACACAUCAAUCUUUUUUCCAGGUUGACCUCGGAUCAGGUAGGGAUACCCGCUGAACUUAAGCAUAUAAUAAGCGGAGGA